rnacentral:rRNA from 1 species
AUUGAACGCUGGCGGCAGGCCUAACACAUGCAAGUCGAGCGGAUGAAGGGAGCUUGCUCCUGGAUUCAGCGGCGGACGGGUGAAUAAUGCCUAGGAAUCUGCCUGGUAGUGGGGGAUAACGUCCGGAAACGGGCGCUAAUACCGCAUACGUCCUGAGGUAGAAAGUGGGGGAUCUUCGGACCUCACGCUAUCAGAUGAGCCUAGGUCGGAUUAGCUAGUUGGUGGGGUAAAGGCCUACCAAGGCGACGAUCCGUAACUGGUCUGAGAGGAUGAUCAGUCACACUGGAACUGAGACACGGUCCAGACUCCUAAGGGAGGCAGCAGUGGGGAAUAUUGGACAAUGGGCGAAAGCCUGAUCCAGCCAUGCCGCGUGUGUGAAGAAGGUCUUCGGAUUGUAAAGCACUUUAAGUUGGGAGGAAGGGCAGUAAGUUAAUACCUUGCUGUUUUGACGUUACCAACAGAAUAAGCACCGGCUAACUUCG